UGUUGUGUGUGUCUAACCUGUGAGGUGGAUAUACAGGGUGUUGUGUGUGUGUCUAACCUGUGAGGUGGACAUACAGGGUGUUGUGUGUGUCUAACCUGUGAGGUGGACAUACAGGGUGUUGUGUGUGUCUAACCUGUGAGGUGGAUAUACAGGGUGUUGUGUGUGUGUCUAACCUGUGAGGUGGAUAUACAGGGUGUUGUGUGUGUCUAACCUGUGAGGUGGAUAUACAG